rnacentral:rRNA from 1 species
CGCAAUUCUCACAUCGUAGUAUACGCAGGCCUGAUCUCGGGAGCUCAGCGGAGUCGGGCCUGGUUAGCAGUUAAAUGGGAGACCGCUGGGAAUAACGGGUGACAAUAGAGC